UCCUUACUUCCCUGUAAAUUUACUGUUUGUUUCAAUCUGCAGACUUUCGUCUGCCCUUCUGUCUUCCUUGACAGCGAUUUCUACCGCUUGUUGCCCCGUCCGUUCUGCCUGCAGAGGUAUUUUUGUAAAUCUCAGAUUCAGCUUAUCUCGCUCCACCGUUUAAUGCACCCGUGCUUGCCUUCGUUACAUUGAAGAUUAUGAACGUCGCAUGAAAAUGAGAGAAAUCCCUGUUUAUUCACUGGCUCGGUCAAAUAGCCUGAUAUUUACCCUUGACUUUGUCUAGGUGAACAGAGCACUCCACUCGAGUUUAUGGUUUUCCUAUACUGCAGCAAAUUCUUUAUUUCCCUGGCUUGUUCAUGCUCAUAAAAUUACAUAUACCAGCUACUGAAUCGACUGUUACUCACCAAGCACUGCACAUUUUGCUUCAUCCAUCUAUACAUAUAGAAGAUUCAUCUGCUUAUAUUAACCAUAGAUUGCUUGCUAUCCUGUCGUCUCUGCUUGCUAUUUACCUCGUGCAUGUGCUUUCCUGCCUUCGAUGAAACACCAUUACACCACUGCAUGAUAUUCUCACUUCUCAACUAACAUCCUGUAAAAAUCUCCAGGACAACAUGAACACUGAAAAUCACCAAUAUGUUGCUGAUGCUAAUGGAUUUGAUAGAGUUAUCGAGUCUGAGGUCAACAAGAAAAAUAUAAUGCCAGCAUCUUAUGCGGGCAAACUUUGCUGCAUGGCUGAAAACUUCCACGAUGCUAUCGCUGUUUCACGUGUCCAUGGCUCACCUGAUAUAUUCACAGACUUCACGUAUGAUCCAAACUGGCCUGAGAUAGUUCAGGGUCUUGAGCAUGGACAACAGGCAGUCGAUGAGGCUGAUUUUACUGCUCAAGUGUAUCAACUGAAACUCCUUGAGUACGUGGAAAAAAUUAAGACCGGACAGGUGUUUGGGCCUGUAGUUACUGGUAAUGUAGCCAGUGUCUUCCCUUGGUUUCCUUAACUUUUUCUCUCCAUGCAUCUUAAUUUCCCUGUUCUUCACUUGCCCUCUUGUUUUCCAGUCCUCCACUCCGUGGACUUCCACAAGAGGAGUCUGCCCCAUGCACAUAUCCUUGUUUGGCAGGAAAAAGAUUAUGGGCAGGUCAUAACGCCAACUUCCCUAAAUCCUCUCUUUCAUCUGCUAUUAGUAUUUCUACCAAAUUUAGAUUCUUCUUUCUUUUCCAUGGUUUCUUAUUUCGGAAUUCCUAAUAAUUAAGCUGCCCAUGUCACAGGGAUCUGCGUCCACUAAUGUUGAUGAUGAUGCUCUUGCGAUUGCACAUGCUAACGCCAUGGAGGCUGCACUUCGCUGAUUUGGAUCUAACAACUAAAGCCCUGUCCACAAAGACAAGUGAAAACUGCUUUGCCAUUGCUGUUUUCACACGAUUGGCCAAGUUCCCAAAAUAGCCUGUUACUAUGUUCGCCGCAUGUUUGUAAACCAAGUGUUUGGCAACCUCCAAUCAUACAUUCCCUUAUUUAUGAUCUGAACUAGGCUAUUUUCAUGCUCUAUGAAUAUCGUUAUUAACCCUUUGUUGGUGUGCCCUCUGUACCUCAUGACUAUUUUAAUUUACUAAGAUACCUGCUCUAAAGAAGAAAAU
rnacentral:lncRNA from 1 species